CAACAGACCAUCCCCCACCGAAGGCAGACCGCACCGCACCCCCAGAGUCGAAACCACAGGAGCGACCGAGAGAGGCCUACGCGCACCAGCAGAUCCCAAGCUCACCGGGGAGGAGGAGGGGAGAGGGCGACCGGCGGCGGCGGCGAUGGGUUUCAUCAUGGAGUUCGCGGAGAACCUGAUCCUCCGUCUGAUGGAGGACCCGGACAAGCGCGACCAGGUUCGGCGGGAGCAUGUCUACAAGAUGAAGGAGCGGUGCGAGCGCACCAAGGCGGCGUGGAACCUCCCGCUGCGCCCCUACGGCUUCUGGACCUUCGAGCGCUUCAACUCGCAGCUCUCCUGGGACCCGCAGAUCAGCCAGGCCGCCGGCCGCCGGGACCCCUACGACGACCUCAUCACCCGCCACUCCGGCUCCCCGCCGUCUUCCUAAACACCCGCGCCGGCUAUUUAUGGAGUGUCCUGUUCAGCCAUUCAUGGUAUCUCUUUAUCAUGCCUAGCGGACUGGAAGCUGUUUACAAUCUUUUUUAUUAACUUCAGGUCUACCUCGGCACCAAUAAGAAACUCGCCCCUCUCAAACUGAUUGUGAUUCCAUUCUCUUCUGUUCGAAAAAUGUUGUCACCAAACUACUCUACUUUCUGUUUCAGUUUGGCAUGGAAGCAGAAGUUGUGUACUUUUAUUCUCAAGUUGUUGUCUUUGUAUUAUGAAAUGUUCCAAUAAUCAUUCGGAGCACUCAUUUGCCUUUACCAUUCGGGAAAUUCUCCUAGUGAUUACAGGCGCCAGAUCUUAUAUAUUUUGGAUGGUUUGUCAGGGGCAGAUAAUUUUCUAUAUUGAUUCUA